rnacentral:rRNA from 1 species
AUCGCUCAACGGAUAAAAGGUACUCCGGGGAUAACAGGCUGAUACCGCCCAAGAGUUCAUAUCGACGGCGGUGUUUGGCACCUCGAUGUCGGCUCAUCACAUCCUGGGGCUGAAGUAGGUCCCAAGGGUAUGGCUGUUCGCCAUUUAAAGUGGUACGCGAGCUGGGUUUAGAACGUCGUGAGACAGUUCGGUCCCUAUCUGCCGUGGGCGCUGGAGAACUGAGGGGGGCUGCUCCUAGUACGAGAGGACCGGAGUGGACGCAUCACUGGUGUUCGGGUUGUCAUGCCAAUGGCACUGCCCGGUAGCUAAAUGCGGAAGAGAUAAGUGCUGAAAGCAUCUAAGCACGAAACUUGCCCCGAGAUGAGUUCUCCCUGACCCUUUAAGGUCCUGAAGGAACGUUGAAGACGACGACGUUGAUAGGCCGGGUGUGUAAGCGCAGCGAUGCGUUGAGCUAACCGGUACUAAUGAACCGUGAGGCUUAACCUUACAACGCCGAAGGUGUUU